GGGAAACCCAAAUGCCACUGUCUGAUGCGCAGGUAAGCAAAAGGGGGGAUAUUUUUAGGAUAGAAUAUCACUCCACCAUAAACAGGAAGGAAGUGCUGGCUGGGGCGUGGCCCAAACUCAGCACUUGCCUAGCACACAGGAGGCCUGAGGUUAGGUCUCGAACAUCACUAAGCAAAAUGAAACGAAAUGAAAUGAAGUGUUGACAAAUGCCGCAACAUGGACAGACCUUGAAAAUAUUAUGGCAAGUGACAACAGCCGGACACAGAAGCCCACAUCCUGUAUGAACCCAUUUUCUAAAGUACCCUGAAAAAGUCAAUUGACCAGGACAGAAAGCAGGCCUGGCAGGGAAGCUGCUCUCUGGAGAGACGGAGGUCCCUGCAGCCCUGCCUGGGUCAUAAUCACAGAGCAACUCGGAGCCUCAGUACCAUCUCAGAGAUGCCCACAGAACCUUGCUGAAUGAAUCUGAGCCUUCAGAGGAGAUCUCAUGCAAAAGAAAAGCAAAAAGUAUAAGGAUAAAAGAAAUCCUAGCUGGGCAGAGGAGCACACACCUGCCAUCCUAGCACUGCAGAAGGCCAAAGGGAGAAGUACAAGUUCAAGCCCAGCUGGGGCAACUUAGCAAUUUACUGAGACCUUGUCUCGAAAAUAAAAAGGGCUGGGGCUCUGUCUCAGUGCCAAGGCUGCGGGGCUUCGAUUUCCGAUGCUGUCAUUUUAAAAAAAAAAAAGGUAAAAAUCUGAGCUACAAAAUGCUGACCAUUCAUUCGUCCCACCAUUAACUGAGCGGCACCAGGAAGGCCAGGAACUGAACACAGAGAUCGACGAACUGCAGGCUCCACAGGAGUUUGAAGGAGAGGGACAGACAGACCCCAACAUUCCGCUGUGCAGGGCUUGCAGUGGAAGUGAAGACCACAGCCACAGCCAAGAAAACCACUUCCCUGCCUGGCUUGGCCUUGCGGGCCCCAAAUCUUAUCUCCUCUUCCAGUGGUGAAAGGCACCUGGAACAGAGCCUGGGAGAUAAGAGAUAGCGAUCUGGGAGGAGGAAGACAUUCAACUGAGGACACAGGCAAGGCAAGGACACGGACGCCAAGGCAAGGACACAACUGUUCCAUCACUACAGUGACCAAUAUGGCCAUUUGAUGGCCAAAUUAAAACAUUCACAAAUUGCAGUCAGGCUGGGCAGGGAGAGGACAGAUGUUAUCAAGUGUCACCUUCCAGGCCCCCUGUGCAGAGCAGCACCCAAUCCUCCAAGACAACCCAAAGCCUGGCCUUCCCCCAGGCACCAACUCCCACAGCCCACGGUGACUCCUGCCCUGCGGGUGCCUGGAGGCAGACAGAAGCAGCUCAGGCCCCUGCAGAAAGCUGGAAUGAAGCUCAAGGUCCCCACCUCUCAGGACAGCCUGGUGGGUGUGAGUCCUGGCAUGGGAGACACAGGACAAGGCAGGAGAGACCACCCCUGGGUGAGGGGGUGAGGCAAGGCAGGGAUCUUGGCAUGGAGGAUUCCAGAGCCACCCACGGUCCCCAGGUUCUGGCAGGAGCCCCUUGCCAGCCUGUAAUUAGACCUGCCGAGUCUUCCUGCUGAGUCUUCAUAAGACAGACAUGCAGGGCCUUGGCACUGUGGUGCACAGCCACCCUCAGAAGCUUCCCUGGGAACGCUUCCGAAGGCUCCACAGGGCUCCUAAGAGCAGGUCCCUACCUGUCCCGGAACCAGGCAGGCACUCACUACACAAAGCCCAGCUCCAUGCGGCGGGGAGGAGGAAGACUGGAAAGGAGAGCCCGCUGAGUGCUGCCCCUCACCCAGGGGUGGUCUCUCCUGCCUUGUCCUGUCUCUCCUAAGCCACACCGGGACUCACACCCACCAGGCUCUGAGUCUUCCCAAACACGCGGCUUCGGGAAACGGGGCUCCUUGGGGCAUCAGCCUGUGCUGUUUCUGGAAGCCCAGCGGGCAUCACCAGUCCCUGAGGAGAUGAAGGAUGCCAAGAGGGGAGGAGGGCCACCACAGUCACCCAGGAGGGGCCACCAGGCUCAUCCUUGGCCUUCUUGCAUUAAGAUAAAGGCACUCUUCCCUCCCCCACAGUCAGGACGGAGAGAGGAAGCCCAGAGACUUCCGGGGUGGUGUGGGAAAGACAGCACAAGACUGAACCAACCACACAGGUCAAUGGGGAACAGGAGCUGAGCCCUGGUGACAGGCUUCUCACAGGAGUCCUAAGACCCUCUGACACACCACAGGGGUUUUUGGCGCUGCCCGGGUGGGCAGGAUCCCUCUUGGGACGGCAUUCUGGUGAAGCCAUGUCACCCUUGGGGAAAUAUGCUAUCUCAUCCGAGCAGCUCGGAUCAGCCCUGAUGAAACAGGAAGCUGAGGAGCACAUGGUGGCAGAGUGGAGGGGGCAGGGAGGGAGGUCAACAGCCAACGCUGGGGCCCUGCCGCAAGGGUCCCGGGAGCCCAUCAUCACAGACAGGACAGGGACCUGGCACCCACACGAUGACCUCAGAGGCCCCCAGGAGGACCACUUUUGGCCCAGGGUACUGGGGCCAGCCUCGGACUUGCUGUGCUUGGCCUCGUGACCCUGUGGCCAUCUUCCCGUGAGAGCACAGUUCCUGGAGGGCAGAAGCCUGGCCCCUCCAUCUUGGAAUGCCCUGUGGUCAGUACGGUGGGUCAGCUGAGCUUGUCAUGCUGUCAGCUCACAGGAACAGGGUCUGUGGACACAGGCACACAACCCAGAAGAUGCAACGGUGCUGCAAGUGCCCCAACACAGAAAUGACAAGGUCCAGGGGUGGGCCAGAGGCCAGCCACGACUCAGGUCCCUAGGGAUAGCUAUCUAGAAAGAUAAUCCCACAGAAGGCCACUUCCAUAGCAGCCUGCCCAGGGCAGACACAGCAGACAGAAACACAGACCACACCUUUCCAGAGAGGACUGGGAUGGAGCUGGCUGCUAUCCCUGGUCGCUUACAGUGUAAAUUCCUUUCUCCUGGUUCCUGCAAGCUUGCCCUCUGGCCGCCAAGGAGAGCCAGCCAGAGUGUGACAUUUGUAUAAAUGUCAUCAACGUCCCACUAAGUGUCCAGGUAAAGCCACUUGAACAAAAGAAAAAUGUACAGCAGUAUUAGGGAACUUU